rnacentral:tRNA from 1 species
GCGGUUGUGGCGAAAUUUGGUAUACGCUUUAUCUUGAGGUGGUAAUAUAUAACAUAUAUAAGGGUUCAAGUCCCUUCAUCCGCA